rnacentral:rRNA from 1 species
GACGGUACCUGAGGAAUAAGCAUCGGCUAACUCCGUGCCAGCAGCCGCGGUAAUACGGAGGAUGCAAGCGUUAUCCGGAAUGAUUGGGCGUAAAGGGUCCGCAGGUGGCAUUGUAUGUCUGCUGUUAAAGAGUCUGGCUCAACCAGAUAAAAGCAGUGGAAACUACAAAGCUAGAGUAUGGUCGGGGCAGAGGGAAUUCCUGGUGUAGCGGUGAAAUGCGUAGAUAUCAGGAAGAACACCGGUGGCGAAGGCGCUCUGCUAGGCCAAAACUGACACUGAGGGACGAAAGCUAGGGGAGCGAAUGGGAU